AUGCACUCCAGAAGUCGCUACUGUUUUUGCUAUUGUUUUUAUCGCAGUCUUAAGAGUAGCCUUGUUUUGUUUUUCUGUUUUCUAGUUUUAAUUGGAGGACAAUUGCUUUACACUGUUGUGUUAGUGUCUGCUGUACAUCAGUGUGAAUCAGCUAUCAGUAUACAUAUCCCUUCCCUCUUAAGCCUUACUCUUACCCCUCUAGGUCACUGCAGAGCAAAGAGCAGCCUUGUGAACAACAUUUCUUCCAAUUGUGGAAGAGGCUCCAGCCUGAGGACCUGUGCUGUGAGGGAUGACAGUCCCCCUGCUCCCUCAUUCUUCCUCCAGCUGCUCCCCCAACUUCCAGACCCUGCUCCCCAUUGGUGCUCCUCAGCUCUGCCAGCGCAGCGCCUGAGCCCAUGAAGCGAGGUCAGGUCCUGGAGCUGCUGUGGAUCGAUGGCUGCAGACGCCCGCGUGGGGCUGCGGAUGCUCAGUGGCUUCCUGCCACCACUUGCUGCGUACGAAUAAAAUCACUUCCAAUGACCUAAUGUGUGCUGCU
rnacentral:lncRNA from 1 species